UCGAAACGAGCAGGUGGAAAUCCGAGCCGUUCUCUACAAUUACCGGCAGAACCAAGAGCUCAAGGUGGGUCCCGGGGUGGCAGAGGCUUCUUGGAGGCUGCCAGGGGGUAGGUAGCCUGUUGCACACACACUUGCCCGGAUCCUUUCUCUCCCUGGCAGGUGAGGGUGGAACUACUCCACAAUCCAGCCUUCUGCAGCCUGGCCACCACCAAGAGGCGUCACCAGCAGACCGUAACCAUCCCCCCCAAGUCCUCGUUGUCCGUUCCAUAUGUCAUCGUGCCGCUAAAGACCGGCCUGCAGGAAGUGGAAGUCAAGGCUGCUGUCUACCAUCAUUUCAUCAGUGACGGUGUCAGGAAGUCCCUGAAGGUCGUGCCGGAAGGAAUCAGAAUGAACAAAACUGUGGCUGUUCGCACCCUGG
rnacentral:lncRNA from 1 species